ACGGGAGGCAGCAGUGGGGAAUAUUGGGCAAUGGGCGAAAGCCUGACCCAGCAACGCCGCGUGAGGGAAGAAGGUCUUCGGAUUGUAAACUUCUUUUAUGAGGGACGAAGGACGUGACGGUACCUCAUGAAUAAGCUACGGCUAACUACGUGCCAGCAGCCGCGGUAAUACGUAGGUAGCGAGCGUUAUCCGGAUUUACUGGGUGUAAAGGGCGCGUAGGCGGGGAAGCAAGUCAGGUGUGAAAUCUAUGGGCUUAACCCAUAAACUGCACUUGAAACUGUUUGUCUUGAGUGCUGGAGAGGUAGACGGAAUUCCUAGUGUAGCGGUGAAAUGCGUAGAUAUUAGGAAGAACACCAGUGGCGAAGGCGGCCUACUGGACAGUAACUGACGCUGAGGCGCGAAAGCGUGGGGAGCAAACAGGAUUAGAUACCCUGGUA
rnacentral:rRNA from 1 species